rnacentral:piRNA from 1 species
AAGAGAAGAAUUGCAGAACACGAUUGAAG